rnacentral:tRNA from 2 species
UCGGGGCGUAGCGCAGCCUGGUAGCGCACUUGCAUGGGGUGCAAGGGGUCGCAGGUUCAAAUCCUGCCGUCCCGAUCAA